rnacentral:rRNA from 1 species
GACGAACGCUGGCGGCGUGCUUAACACGUGCAAGUCGAACGGAAAGGCCCUGCUUUUGUGGGGUGCUCGAGUGGCGAACGGGUGAGUAACACGUGAGUAACCUGCCCUUGACUUUGGGAUAACUUCAGGAAACUGGGGCUAAUACCGGAUAGGAGCUCCUGCUGCAUGGUGGGGGUUGGAAAGUUUCGGCGGUUGGGGAUGGACUCGCGGCUUAUCAGCUUGUUGGUGGGGUAGUGGCUUACCAGGGCUUUGACGGGUAGCCGGCCUGAGAGGGUGACCGGCCACAUUGGGACUGAGAUACGGCCCAGACUCCUACGGGAGGCAGCAGUGGGGAAUAUUGCACAAUGGGCGGAAGCCUGAUGCAGCAACGCCGCGUGCGGGAUGACGGCCUUCGGGUUGUAAACCGCUUUCGCCUGUGACGAAGCGUGAGUGACGGUAAUGGGUAAAGAAGCACCGGCUAACUACGUG